AUCCCGUACUCUUUCUAGAUUGCAUAAAGCAGCUGUGAAUUCAGAUUCAACACUUCAUCUUUCAUUUUGAUGUGGAUUCUUUUGAUCCCAGAAAGAAAUAUAUUUAUAAUUUCCAAAAGAACUGUCUCUGAGAUAACUUCUAAAGAUCUGGGCACUUAGAAUAUUUAUGACAGAUGAUGAAGCUCUGUGAGGAGGAGAAUGGAGAUCUUUGUAAACCGUCUUCCUGAGCUCCCAUACUCAAACUCGUCUUGUUCCAAUGACCAUUCUGAGGCUGACUCCCUGGCUGAAUUCAGCAAAUGUUUAUUGAGUUCCCAUAAGGUAAGAACAGAAGGAACAUGUGUGUAA
rnacentral:lncRNA from 1 species